UCACCUCAAUAUAUUUAAUUAAAAACAGCGCUAAAGUGGCAAAAAGAGAAAAAGAUUUGCACUAUCUGGUCAGUAAAAUAAAUUAUCAUACUUCAAUUAAUAUGCACAAGAAAUUCUUAUUUGGUUUUCUAAGACAUACACACUACAAAUUAUAUUUCUUACCAGACUAUAUAUGUUUUUUUAUACUAUAAUAUAAAUUAGUACUCUUCAUUUUUUUUGGAUUUCCUAGUUAAACUACAGAAAACAUUAGGUUUCAGAUUUCUGGGUAAAUGAUCAAAAUCCCUCUUCUUCCUAAAACCCUCCUCCAAAUAAAAAAAUAAAAGCUUGAUCUUUAUGCAAGAAAAAUCUUAUUUAACCACUACACUUUCCUCUGGCCAAAGUGAUCCUACAGCCUAUUACUGAUGAGAAACAUCUGAGAAAGUGGGUUUCUCAGAAACAUAUUAACUAGGAUUUUGCAAAAAUAGAAAUCUUUUCCCCCAAAUGGUUUUGAGAACCAACAGGCAAAACAAAAUAAGACAUGUCUCUUCAUGCAGCGUUUGAGUCCUCAGAACUCUAACAUACUAUUUAUUGGAAACUGAUCUCUGAGAAAAGAAUGCAUAAUAUGUGAAUUUAUCAUUGUAAUUUAACUAGAAAACGCCUUUUCAAAGCCCAGAAAGAGUUGAAAAGAAUACCAAAAGGGUUGCACAUAUAACCCUAACAUAGGCUUAAAAAAGGUUUUAAGUUGUUAAAUGGUUUAUAAUAAAAAUCAAAACCUGUAACAGUUCAUUAUUUUUCUAUACUAGUAAAUAGAAUAAGAAUGUCAUUUUUUGAAGGGAAAAUUUUAAAUGUCAAAACAAGAUAUAUGUAUCAUUAAAGCCAAAAAACUAUGUUAAUUUCAAAUGAAGAGAACUUUGGGGCUAAGUUAAGAAGUAAAAAAUACUCUAAAAAGAGACUCACACAAAACGUUAGGGAAAGACUUUUUACUUUCUGGUAAUACAAAUUAAAAAGACCUCAAAAAGGAAUGGGUUCAUGAUUCAAGGAUAUUCCUACCCCAAGAUUAUUCACUGGCAUAGCUCUAACUCUUUUCAAAGCUAGACAUUAAAUUAAAAAAUCACAAAGUCCCAUUAAAUUCAAAAGGGAUAAAUUUUUUAAAGGAAGUACGUCAAAUGACAUUGUACAGUUUCAUUAGUGCACCAAGUUUUCCUGUCCAAGGGGUGGCUCUAUCAGGUCACAGGAGGAAAGGUGUGUGGCAAUUUAGUUGGGGGGGGGGGGGGGGGGGGGGGAGAAUGCAGCCACCACUGGCUCCCAUGGAGGCUGUAACUGUUUUUUGAAAGUUGACAAUGCUUAAAUCACAAGCACAUGUGGAAUAAAGAAGUUCCCACUCUUCUUUCUCAUAUGAGCUGUAUUAGUCACUUUGUUUUCCCAUAAGCUGAUAACAAUACCAUUUUGUGGAUUCUGUGGUUUCCAGAAAAAAAGAGUAAGGUUUAUAUUUUCAAACCUCCAGUUAAGAAGAAAUUUUUCAAUAAAAGAGAAUACAGAUUCACAGAGAUGCUGAUUCUAAGCAAAACUUCAACUAUGGGGCAUUCCAAAUUCUCCACAUAAAGCAAUGUAGAGACAGUAGGGGAUAUAUAAGAGGUUAUAACUUCAAGUAAAACUUUUCCAUUUCACAACCAGAAUAUAAGACAGUAAAGACAACAUUUUAAAAUGUGGAUACCAUGAAACCAACUGACCAGAUACAUGUAAGGACCCUAGAACUACCAAACAUAAAGUGUCCUUGACAACACAACACCAAGUAAAUAAACAAAUCCACAAAAUCUCCUUUCAAACAACGGCACAGAAAUAUCUUAUCUUAACAAUGUCAUAAAUCCUAACACACAAAGUAAAGGACAUUUUCCUGAAACAUAAUAUGCUACCUUAAACUUUACAUUGCUAUGUGUUAAAUAUUAAAAUUUCAAAUGCUAAAGAAGAUAACUUGUGUAUAAGACAUUUUGAUUGUAUCAAAGCACAGUACUCUAGGCCUUAAAAUGGAAGUAUAUGACAAGACUUUUAAAAACCAUCUGAAGCAGGAGAAAUUGAAAUAAGGGGUAUCAGAAUGAAAGUAGGAGAAACUUACAUGGUAUGCUUUCAAAUAUGUCUAUGGUUCUGUAUCAGGGAAGCUGUGCUUUGCUCCUUUCACAGGGAAUUGGGAAGGCGAUGCUGUCACCUCCUCACUCUAACCAGCUCCCUAAAUCCAGGGAUUAGGUUCACUCAGCUGAAGCCAAGAUGAGCUUGCCACUGAAACUAAGGAUAUAUUUACCAUGCACUUAUAGAAUUGGUUUCUAUGGACAGAUUUAGCAUGUGUAUAUUUAGCAUAUCUAUAGGCAAAUAAUUGUAUACAUCUAUAGAAUUUAUACUGAUAUUUAUAUAUCUGUUUAUAGAAUUAACAUUUAUAUGUAGGCUAAUUCUGUGAAAACAACUAGCCUCUCAGAAUAAAAGCAAAAGAUAAGUUAUAAAAGUAUUAUAUUAGUUUCCAAAAUAAGAAUUUCAAACUAUCUCUUUUAAGAAGAUAUGGGGUUUAAUACUCCUAUGAGUACAUCUUUUAUAAAACCACAAAACCACUGUUAAAUAUAAACAAUGACUAAAUAUGUUAUAGGAAUGCUAUAUUUUUCUAGCUUCGAUUCACAGUAACCUUGGUGUAAAGACUCUUCCCCAAGUUUUCCACUGUUACCAAUUUUUAACAAAAUUCUUUAAAGGUUAUAAAUCAAUCAAUUAUCUCAACUCAAAACUUGUAUUUUCAACAAAAAUACUCAAAGUUAAGGAUUUUGAUUGGAUUCUAUGAUCAAAAACAACAUUCCAUGAUUGAAAAGAAGUUUUUUUCUUCUAUGAUGAAACAUUUUUUGGAAUGUAUAAUAAAAAGUUAAAGGUUGAUUUCCCUUAUCCUCAAUUAUACGAAUAGAUUCAGAUGACUGAUUUUACAGCGCCAGAUCAGGUAAACUCACUACCAUUUCUGAAAGAUGAUUGUAUGUCUGCUGAUAAGAAUCUACUUUAUGUUAUGUGUUAUAAAAGUUUUAUGUUACCAUCUCUGCUGCUUUAAUUAAGGCUUACUCUACCAAGGCUUUUUAUCUGUGCUGAGAUGUGUGCCCUAGGGACCUUACUUGGUUAAGUACCUGUUAACCCUUUCAUGUCAAGUAUCCUAUUUUUAUAAAGAAAAGUGAGUUUUCAGUGCAAAUUUUAGUCCUUACUUAUUAACUCACUACUCAGUUUGGUCCCAUUAGUUUCCUCUUUCCUGAAACCCUCACCUGCCAGGCUCCCUGCCCCUGCUGCACUGGCUCCCAAACACGGGUGCUUCCCAGUGCUCUGCGAACACUGAGAUACAGAGCAAAAGAUAAAAUUACUUCAUCUUUACUACCUGAGUUUUAAAAUUUCUCUUAUGAUAUUAAUGUGUUCUAGUCUAUGCUUAAUUUAAAAAGAAGAGAUGGAAAGUGCGUAUGUAUUAACUGCAAAAAGUGCUAUGACUAAUAACAAACUGCACCAGGAAAGAGACUAAUAACUCAAAUGCCAUAUAGUUCUCUGGCUCUAUGAUAAACUUAAGAAAAUAAAGAUUUUUAGAAUGAAAUACAGCACAUUAAACAUUAAGACACAGAUUAUCUGUUUUGAAAUAAAAUGAAUGCGACCUCAGGAGACACUUAAAAGAUGAAUGAUACUUUGAAAUACACCCAGAGUCUUCGAUUGUCCUUUAACAAGGGGGGGAAUGGCUGUGGGGGUGAGGGGAUAGGGUAGGGGGGAGCAAUAGGGGAAAAGGCGGGACAACUGUAACUGAACAAUAAAAAAUACAAAAUAUAUAAAAAUAAAAAGGCCCUUAGAGCCUUCAACCUGCAGCAAAUAUAAUAACCAACUCCAGCUCCCUCUAACCUUCAAAAUGGAGGAAGGGAAAUACUUACCUUACAUUCACACAAAGAAUGAGACCUAAACAUAGAACAUGCUUCCAUUGCCCCCACAUUUUAUUACCAUCUCAACAGGGCUCCAGUAAAGUAACAGGAGAGUGCAGUUGAAAGAAUUGCAAGCCUCAAGCUCUAUUUAAUGUAUCCAUGAGAAAAUCCAAAGACAACAGAGGAGACAGAAACAACAGUGAAGAAAGUUUAUCUUCUAACACUUCAGCCACAGCAAACAGUGAACACAGUGUAACUGCUAGACAGAUAAACCAAACCCUCACUCUCAAGGCCUUAGUUCCUUUUAUUCUACACAUCAUGUCCAGCUUUUAACAAAGAGUUACAAAGAAGUCAAAAGGUAGAAAAUAUAAUCUGAAAAGUCAAAGCAAGCAUCAGAACUAGGUUCAGAUAUGACAGCAAUUUUGGAAUAAUCAGGCCAGGAAUUUAAAGUAACUAUGAUUAAUAUGCUGAGGGGCCUAAGAACAUAGGAGUAACCUAAACAGAAAGGUUGGAAACUCUAAGAAAGAACUGAAAAGAAAUGUUAGAAAUCAAAAUCAUAGUAAUAUAAAUGAAGAUUGCACUUGAUAGGCUCAUUAGUACACAAGACCCGGAGAAG